GCUAAAGGCGUUUGGUUCUUUUUCAUUCUGAACCAAAUUUAACUAGGAGACGAAUUCUCUUCCUUGUUGUUUCCGGCAUUUCUUCCCUUCCCAUCCAAUUUCUGCUACUGACUAUCAAAACAUUCGCAAGAAAAGAAAAAUAAUUUCAGACUCCCCUUGGAUUUUGCUGAUCCGUUUUUGGAAUGCUAGCUGCGAUUAAGAGUACGAGGCGAGCUUAAUGCAGUAAGCUUGGGAAGAGCUUACGGCUGGGAGCUUGAGCAAAAAGUUGGUAUUUUUGCUUGUCUCUAAUGUGUAUAUCACGGGAUUAUCUGGGUGGUUUUAAUUUUUAUUGCUUGACCCAUCAUUUUGUUUUAUUUUGCUGUAUAUAUAGAUACUAUGGUUUUGCAUAAAGUCUAAUUUCCGGUACACCCGGAACUGCUUGUACAUAAUUUCAUUUUUGUUGUUUAGUUUUAAUGUAUUGCCGAGAUAUACUACUACUAUCUUUAGAUUUCUAUCUUCUGUGUUCCCAUGAUUAUGUUCUUUAGCCUAGUCCAAGUUUUCAGCUGCUGCAAGGCUAGUGUGGAUGUGACUGUCAACUGUGCCAUUUUACUGUAUUGUAUACUAAACCGUGUUCAUGAA